UGGCGAGAAGGGAAGUGUGUUUCUUAGACA
rnacentral:rRNA from 6 species